AGAAAAUUAGGGUUUCAGACUUCAUUAGAGAUACUCGUCCAUAAAGGCAACAUUUUUGCCCAAAAUCCUAUUCUUCCCAGCUGGCAGAAGCAGAGAGCCUACACUUUGAUCUCAUACCAUGACUUUCAAGCGUAGGAAUGGUGGUCGCAACAAGCACGGCCGUGGCCAUGUCAAGUUCAUCCGCUGCUCUAACUGUGGAAAAUGCUGUCCCAAGGAUAAGUCAAUCA